rnacentral:rRNA from 1 species
CAGCCGCCACGGUAAUACAGAGGGUGCGAGCGUUAAUCGGAUUUACUGGGCGUAAAGCGUGCGUAGGCGGCUUCUUAAGUCGGAUGUGAAAUCCCUGAGCUUAACUUAGGAAUUGCAUUCGAUACUGGGAAGCUAGAGUAUGGGAGAGGAUGGUAGAAUUCCAGGUGUAGCGGUGAAAUGCGUAGAGAUCUGGAGGAAUACCGAUGGCGAAGGCAGCCAUCUGGCCUAAUACUGACGCUGAGGUACGAAAGCAUGGGGAGCAAACAGGAUUAGAUACCCCUGUAGUCCCUGUUUCUUAUAC